GACGAACGCUGGCGGCGUGCUUAACACAUGCAAGUCGAACGGAAAGGCCCUGCUUUUGUGGGGUGCUCGAGUGGCGAACGGGUGAGUAACACGUGAGUAACCUGCCCUUGACUUUGGGAUAACUUCAGGAAACUGGGGCUAAUACCGGAUAGGAGCUCCUGCUGCAUGGUGGGGGUUGGAAAGUUUCGGCGGUUGGGGAUGGACUCGCGGCUUAUCAGCUAGUUGGUGGGGUAGUGGCUUACCAAGGCUUUGACGGGUAGCCGGCCUGAGAGGGUGACCGGCCACAUUGGGACUGAGAUACGGCCCAGACUCCUACGGGCGGCAGCAGUGGGGAAUAUUGCACAAUGGGCGGAAGCCUGAUGCAGCAACGCCGCGUGCGGGAUGACGGCCUUCGGGUUGUAAACCGCUUUCGCCUGUGACGAAGCGUGAGUGACGGUAAUGGGUAAAGAAGCACCGGCUAACUACGUG
rnacentral:rRNA from 1 species